CCUGGCCUUGACAUACUAAGAACUUUCCAGAGAUGGAUUGGUGCCUUCGGGAACUUAGAUACAGGUGCUGCAUGGCUGUCGUCAGCUCGUGUCGUGAGAUGUUGGGUUAAGUCCCGCAACGAGCGCAACCCUUUUCCUUAUUUGCCAGCGGGUUAAGCCGGGAACUUUAAGGAUACUGCCAGUGACAAACUGGAGGAAGGCGGGGACGACGUCAAGUCAUCAUGGCCCUUACGGCCAGGGCUACACACGUGCUACAAUGGUCGGUACAAAGGGUUGCUACCUCGCGAGAGGAUGCUAAUCUCAAAAAGCCGAUCGUAGUCCGGAUCGCAGUCUGCAACUCGACUGCGUGAAGUCGGAAUCGCUAGUAAUCGCGGAUCAGAAUGCCGCGGUGAAUACGUUCCCGGGCCUUGUACACACCGCCCGUCACACCAUGGGAGUUUGUUGCACCAGAAGUAGGUAGUCUAACCGCAAGGAGGACGCUUACCACGGUGUGGCCGAUGACUGGGGUGAAGUCGUAACAAGGUAAGCGUAGAUGA
rnacentral:rRNA from 1 species